rnacentral:lncRNA from 1 species
GGAAAGCAUCUAUAAAACGUAACUAGCACUAUUCCGUUCUGACAUGAAUGAGCUUUAUUGGUUGAUACAGACAUAUAGCAGUUUCGUCGUUAAUGUUUGCGAGCUCCUGUACAUGGCCCCGAUAGCCUGCUGGAUGCCUAUGCAUGCACAUGCAUGCAUGCAUGCAUGCAUAGGCAUGAAGAAAUGUAGACCAGCAGGCGAUUCAUAUGCAUAUGUCGAGUAAUAAGUACGAGGGUGGGCAUCACAUCCUAAAGCACCUGCCUGUACAUGGGGAUGUACAUGUGCCACAUGGGUAGGUUCAAGGCCUAGGUGGGCGUCUCAUUUAAUCGGCUGUGUAAUUGGUUGGCUAGAGUUAUGUAGGAUUUCUGGAUGGGGUAGCUAUAGCUAUGCAUGCUAGCCGACGAUGUUAUUGUGUAGUACGCUACAUUUCCCUCCAAAUAUUUUAACGAUUAUUAAUAACAACACCUGUUAAUUCCGUUGACGAUUCGACUCAAGUUCCGUACAUGUACAUGUCCCACAAUAUCAUGACACGGACAUAUCGGAUGUUCGUAGCGACACCUAACAGGCUGGGGCCCCGGGCCCCAUCGACAGUAUCCUAGUACAGUACGACAGGACCGUAGUAGAGAUUCGUCCGGCAGGUAGGCCAAGAUAUAAGCUACCCGGGCGGGGUGCUCUGGCCAGGCACUUCAGUAUCACGACUACUUGGUGUUCGGAGUCCAAGACUCUGCUGCCACCGUCUUAGUUGCUUCGAUCUUGUCUAUGUAAGCUAGUGCCUGUCGCUGGGUUGGACUCCUUCCCGCCUCAGCAAGGCCCCUAAGCUCCACGCUUCUGCAAGGUCAGUCGUGCCACCAGGCGAGCAUCUGCCACGUGCUGCAAUCUACUAGAUCUGUAAGGAUACAGAUAGAUGCUGCUAUAUGCCCUGCCUAUGAGUUGGUAGCUGGAUGGGCCAAGUGCGGCAGGGUAGGAUUUUAAUGUAGAUAGAGCAGUAACCUCCGAUGUUUGCACAACAUGGAUGUGGGGGGUUUAUUCGCAUCACAAAUCAUUCAUGCGCACAAAACCUCUGUAUACAUGCAUAGCGUUCCUUACAUUCUUCUGCCCUAGUUUCAGGGGCCGGUGACGCCAGGGUGACAAGAUAUGAGUCUCAUGCGUGCGUUUUCAUGUGUGUGUAUGUACGGCUUGCGUUGUUGUGGUACGUUUGUGUCGUACAACGAUGGCACGUUUGAGAGUUUGGUCUAGUGGUAUGAUUCUCGCUUAGGGUGCGAGAGGUCGUGGGUUCAAUUCCCGCAACUCCCCGGCACAUGCGCACGACAGCUUCCUCCUCAGCGACGAAACGAAGGGUCUCUAGCUCAGUGGUAGAGCAGCUGACUGCAGAUCAGCAGGUCUCCGGUUCGAUCCCGGAGGGGCCCUGGUAUUGACCCUCCUUGACUCAAGAGUGUCUGUCAGAAGCGUGCAGAAAUCCUCUUGCAGCGAAGCAGAAGUAGGUUUUUCACCCCAACCUGAUGUAUCCUGCGCAGACCGCAGGGGCGGUUUCUAUCACCCCUAUCGAUAGCCUGUAUGUGGUAUGGGCACUGCACUGUGCAACCAUGUCAUGAGGACCUUACCAACAAUCAGCAUGCUUGUACACACUUUGCAUAUGCAUUCCUACCCGCAUGCACAUAGCAUGCAUGCUGUGUAUGUGUGGUUACAUCUAAUAAUAUAAUAAGUAGGUUGAGCAGUUACAUAGGUGAGGCUGGUCAAUGGUGAUCACCUACCAUUCAUGGAAGGCAUUCAUGCAUUCUCAGACCAGAUCCAUUGUUAUUUUAUCCUGGUGCAUCCACUUGUUAUCAUAGGGUGUGGUGACGCACGGCUACCUGCCUUCAGGCUCCUUUCCACAGCUUUAGUCAACUUUCAAGUCAAAACGGAUCAGAUAUGUCAGUACGGCCGGUCUUUCAGUGCAUGAUGAUCGACAUGGAAGACAUUUCGCUCGUAUGGGUCUUGAUUGUCAAAUCGAUUCUAUGUUGGAUAUGGCGGAUGUUAAAUGGUAUUGGUUCUUGUCUCAUCACAUAUAAUUGAGCCAAUAACCAUUAUCAUGCGUUAUGGACAAACCAAGGGACCGACCGACUGACUGACUCAGGGCAAAAAGAGGCCAGAUGCGGGACUUAGCGAUGGGUUGCACUGAAACACAAUGUGUGAGUAGGUGUUGUGUAUCUAAAAUGUACGCACCUACCCAUACAUAGAUGGGAUACCCAUGUAUGUGUGCCCAGUAGAGCUAUAUAUCUGAACAUUUUACGAUUUGUGAGCGCCUAUAUAGCUUAGUGGUAGAGCGUUCCCUUCGUAAGGGAAAGGUCUUGAGUUCAAUCCUCAAUGUGGGCAUUUUAUGUGUUGCUGGGAUGUUUGUAUGGCUGCAAUCGCAGUCUUCUACUGAAGCACAUGUCUUUACGAUUUCAUAGGACAUCAAGGGAAAAGGUCCCGCGUAAAGUCCUGCACACAGCAGGAAAACAAGGGAGGAUCGUCCGCCUUCAGUCUGUAUCACUGCCAAUGGAAAGCAUCUAUAAAACGUAACUAGCACUAUUCCGUUCUGACAUGAAUGAGCUUUAUUGGUUGAUACAGACAUAUAGCAGUUUCGUCGUUAAUGUUUGCGAGCUCCUGUACAUGGCCCCGAUAGCCUGCUGGAUGCCUAUGCAUGCACAUGCAUGCAUGCAUGCAUGCAUAGGCAUGAAGAAAUGUAGACCAGCAGGCGAUUCAUAUGCAUAUGUCGAGUAAUAAGUACGAGGGUGGGCAUCACAUCCUAAAGCACCUGCCUGUACAUGGGGAUGUACAUGUGCCACAUGGGUAGGUUCAAGGCCUAGGUGGGCGUCUCAUUUAAUCGGCUGUGUAAUUGGUUGGCUAGAGUUAUGUAGGAUUUCUGGAUGGGGUAGCUAUAGCUAUGCAUGCUAGCCGACGAUGUUAUUGUGUAGUACGCUACAUUUCCCUCCAAAUAUUUUAACGAUUAUUAAUAACAACACCUGUUAAUUCCGUUGACGAUUCGACUCAAGUUCCGUACAUGUACAUGUCCCACAAUAUCAUGACACGGACAUAUCGGAUGUUCGUAGCGACACCUAACAGGCUGGGGCCCCGGGCCCCAUCGACAGUAUCCUAGUACAGUACGACAGGACCGUAGUAGAGAUUCGUCCGGCAGGUAGGCCAAGAUAUAAGCUACCCGGGCGGGGUGCUCUGGCCAGGCACUUCAGUAUCACGACUACUUGGUGUUCGGAGUCCAAGACUCUGCUGCCACCGUCUUAGUUGCUUCGAUCUUGUCUAUGUAAGCUAGUGCCUGUCGCUGGGUUGGACUCCUUCCCGCCUCAGCAAGGCCCCUAAGCUCCACGCUUCUGCAAGGUCAGUCGUGCCACCAGGCGAGCAUCUGCCACGUGCUGCAAUCUACUAGAUCUGUAAGGAUACAGAUAGAUGCUGCUAUAUGCCCUGCCUAUGAGUUGGUAGCUGGAUGGGCCAAGUGCGGCAGGGUAGGAUUUUAAUGUAGAUAGAGCAGUAACCUCCGAUGUUUGCACAACAUGGAUGUGGGGGUUUAUUCGCAUCACAAAUCAUUCAUGCGCACAAAACCUCUGUAUACAUGCAUAGCGUUCCUUACAUUCUUCUGCCCUAGUUUCAGGGGCCGGUGACGCCAGGGUGACAAGAUAUGAGUCUCAUGCGUGCGUUUUCAUGUGUGUGUAUGUACGGCUUGCGUUGUUGUGGUACGUUUGUGUCGUCCAACGAUGGCAUGUUUGGGAUUUUGGUCUAGUGGUAUGAUUCUCGCUUAGGGUGCGAGAGGUCGUGGGUUCAAUUCCCGCAACUCCCCGGCACACGCGCACGACAGCUUCCUCCUCAGCAACGAAACGAAGGGUCUCUAGCUCAGUGGUAGAGCAGCUGCCUGCAGAUCAGCAGGUCUCCGGUUCGAUCCCGGAGGGGCCCUGGUAUUGGCCCUCCUUGACUCAAGAGUGUCUGUCAGAAGCGUGCAGAAAUCCUCUUGCAGCGAAGCAGAAGUAGGUUUUUCACCCCAACCUGAUGUAUCCUGCGCAGACCGCAGGGGCGGUUUCUAUCACCCCUAUCGAUAGCCUGUAUGUGGUAUGGGCACUGCACUGUGCAACCAUGUCAUGAGGACCUUACCAACAAUCAGCAUGCUUGUACACACUUUGCAUAUGCAUUCCUACCCGCAUGCACAUAGCAUGCAUGCUGUGUAUGUGUGGUUACAUCUAAUAAUAUAAUAAGUAGGUUGAGCAGUUACAUAGGUGAGGCUGGUCAAUGGUGAUCACCUACCAUUCAUGGAAGGCAUUCAUGCAUUCUCAGACCAGAUCCAUUGUUAUUUUAUCCUGGUGCAUCCACUUGUUAUCAUAGGGUGUGGUGACGCACGGCUACCUGCCUUCAGGCUCCUUUCCACAGCUUUAGUCAACUUUCAAGUCAAAACGGAUCAGAUAUGUCAGUACGGCCGGUCUUUCAGUGCAUGAUGAUCAACAUGGAAGACAUUUCGCUCGUAUGGGUCUUGAUUGUCAAAUCGAAUCUAUGUUGGAUAUGGCGGAUGUUAAAUGGUAUUGGUUCUUGUCUCAUCACAUAUAAUUGAGCCAAUAACCAUUAUCAUGCGUUAUGGACAAACCAAGGGACCGACCGACUGACUGACUCAGGGCAAAAAGAGGCCAGAUGCGGGACUUAGCGAUGGGUUGCACUGAAACACAAUGUGUGAGUAGGUGUUGUGUAUCUAAAAUGUACGCACCUACCCAUACAUAGAUGGGAUACCCAUGUAUGUGUGCCUAGUAGAGCUAUAUAUCUGAACAUUUUACGAUUUGUGAGCGCCUAUAUAGCUUAGUGGUAGAGCGUUCCCUUCGUAAGGGAAAGGUCUUGAGUUCAAUCCUCAAUGUGGGCAUUUUAUGUGUUGCUGGGAUGUUUGUAUGGCUGCAAUCGCAGUCUUCUACUGAAGCACAUGUACAUGUCUUUACGAUUUCAUAGGACAUCAAGGGAAAAGGUCCUGCGUAAAGUCCUGCACACAGCAGGAAAACAAGGGAGGAUCGUCCGCCUUCAGUCUGUAUCACUGCCAAUGGAAAGCAUCUAUAANACGUAACUAGCACUAUUCCGUUCUGACAUGAAUGAGCUUUAUUGGUUGAUACAGACAUAUAGCAGUUUCGUCGUUAAUGUUUGCGAGCUCCUGUACAUGGCUCCGAUAGCCUGCUGGAUGCCUAUGCAUGCACAUGCAUGCAUGCAUGCAUGCAUGCAUNNNNNNNNNNNNNNNNNNNNNNNNNNNNNNNNNNNNNNNNNNNNNNNNNNAGUUGGUAGCUGGAUGGGCCAAGUGCGGCAGGGUAGGAUUUUAAUGUAGAUAGAGCAGUAACCUCCGAUGUUUGCACAACAUGGAUGUGGGGGGUUUAUUCGCAUCACAAAUCAUUCAUGCGCACAAAACCUCUGUAUACAUGCAUAGCGCUCCUUACAUUCUUCUGCCCUAGUUUCAGGGGCCGGUGACGCCAGGGUGACAAGAUAUGAGUCUCAUGCGUGCGUUUUCAUGUGUGUGUAUGUACGGCUUGCGUUGUUGUGGUAUGUUUGUGUCGUACAACGAUGGCAUGUUUGGGAGUUUGGUCUAGUGGUAUGAUUCUCGCUUAGGGUGCGAGAGGUCGUGGGUUCAAUUCCCGCAACUCCCCGGCACACGCGCACGACAGCUUCCUCCUCAGCGACGAAAUGAAGGGUCUCUAGCUCAGUGGUAGAGCAGCUGACUGCAGAUCAGCAGGUCUCCGGUUCGAUCCCGGAGGGGCCCUGGUAUUGGCCCUCCUUGACUCAAGAGUGUCUGUCAGAAGCGUGCAGAAAUCCUCUUGCAGCGAAGCAGAAGUAGGUUUUUCACCCCAACCUGAUGUAUCCUGCGCAGACCGCAGGGGCGGUUUCUAUCACCCCUAUCGAUAGCCUGUAUGUGGUAUGGGCACUGCACUGUGCAACCAUGUCAUGAGGACCUUACCAACAAUCAGCAUGCUUGUACACACUUUGCAUAUGCAUUCCUACCCGCAUGCACAUAGCAUGCAUGCUGUGUAUGUGUGGUUACAUCUAAUAAUAUAAUAAGUAGGUUGAGCAGUUACAUAGGUGAGGCUGGUCAAUGGUGAUCACCUACCAUUCAUGGAAGGCAUUCAUGCAUUCUCAGACCAGAUCCAUUGUAUUUUAUCCUGGGCAUCCACUGUAUCAUAGGGUGUGGUGACGCACGGCUACCUGCCUUCAGGCUCCUUUCCACAGCUUUAGUCAACUUUCAAGUCAAAACGGAUCAGAUAUGUCAGUACGGCCGGUCUUUCAGUGCAUGAUGAUCGACAUGGAAGACAUUUCGCUCGUAUGGGUCUUGAUUGUCAAAUCGAUUCUAUGUUGGAUAUGNCGGAUGUUAAAUGGUAUUGGUUCUUGUCUCAUCACAUAUAAUUGAGCCAAUAACCAUUAUCAUGCGUUAUGGACAAACCAAGGGACCGACCGACUGACUGACUCAGGGCAAAAAGAGGCCAGAUGCGGGACUUAGCGAUGGGUUGCACUGAAACACAAUGUGUGAGUAGGUGUUGUGUAUCUAAAAUGUACGCACCUACCCAUACAUAGAUGGGAUACCCAUGUAUGUGUGCCUAGUAGAGCUAUAUAUCUGAACAUUUUACGAUUUGUGAGCGCCUAUAUAGCUUAGUGGUAGAGCGUUCCCUUCGUAAGGGAAAGGUCUUGAGUUCAAUCCUCAAUGUGGGCAUUUUAUGUGUUGCUGGGAUGUUUGUAUGGCUGCAAUCGCAGUCUUCUACUGAAGCACAUGUACAUGUCUUUACGAUUUCAUAGGACAUCAAGGGAAAAGGUCCUGCGUAAAGUCCUGCACACAGCAGGAAAACAAGGGAGGAUCGUCCGCCUUCAGUCUGUAUCACUGCCAAUGGAAAGCAUCUAUAAAACGUAACUAGCACUAUUCCGUUCUGACAUGAAUGAGCUUUAUUGGUUGAUACAGACAUAUAGCAGUUUCGUCGUUAAUGUUUGCGAGCUCCUGUACAUGGCUCCGAUAGCCUGCUGGAUGCCUAUGCAUGCACAUGCAUGNNNNNNNNNNNNNNNNNNNNNNNNNNNNNNNNNNNNNNNNNNNNNNNNNNNNNNNNNNNNNNNNNNNNNNNNNNNNNNNNNNNNNNNNNNNNNNNNNNNNNNNNNNNNNNNNNNNNNNNNNNNNNNNNNNNNNNNNNNNNNNNNNNNNNNNNNNNNNNNNNNNNNNNNNNNNNNNNNNNNNNNNNNNNNNNNNNNNNNNNNNNNNNNNNNNNNNNNNNNNNNNNNNNNNNNNNNNNNNNNNNNNNNNNNNNNNNNNNNNNNNNNNNNNNNNNNNNNNNNNNNNNNNNNNNNNNNNNNNNNNNUCCAAAUAUUUUAACGAUUAUUAAUAACAACACCUGUUAAUUCCGUUGACGAUUCGACUCAAGUUCCGUACAUGUACAUGUCACACAAUAUCAUGACACGGACAUAUCGGAUGUUCGUAGCGACACCUAACAGGCUGGGGCCCCGGGCCCCAUCGACAGUAUCCUAGUACAGUACGACAGGACCGUAGUAGAGAUUCGUCCGGCAGGUAGGCCAAGAUAUAAGCUACCCGGGCGGGGUGCUCUGGCCAGGCACUUCAGUAUCACGACUACUUGGUGUUCGGAGUCCAAGACUCUGCUGCCACCGUCUUAGUUGCUUCGAUCUUGUCUAUGUAAGCUAGUGCCUGUCGCUGGGUUGGACUCCUUCCCGCCUCAGCAAGGCCCCUAAGCUCCACGCUUCCGCAAGGUCAGUCGUGCCACCAGGCGAGCAUCUGCCACGUGCUGCAAUCUACUAGAUCUGUAAGGAUACAGAUAGAUGCUGCUAUAUGCCCUGCCUAUGAGUUGGUAGCUGGAUGGGCCAAGUGCGGCAGGGUAGGAUUUUAAUGUAGAUAGAGCAGUAACCUCCGAUGUUUGCACAACAUGGAUGUGGGGGUUUAUUCGCAUCACAAAUCAUUCAUGCGCACAAAACCUCUGUAUACAUGCAUAGCGUUCCUUACAUUCUUCUGCCCUAGUUUCAGGGGCCGGUGACGCCAGGGUGACAAGAUAUGAGUCUCAUGCGUGCGUUUUCAUGUGUGUGUAUGUACGGCUUGGGUUGUUGUGGUACGUUUGUGUCGUACAACGUUGGCAUGUUUGGGAGUUUGGUCUAGUGGUAUGAUUCUCGCUUAGGGUGCGAGAGGUCGUGGGUUCAAUUCCCGCAACUCCCCGGCACACGCGCACGACAGCUUCCUCCUCAGCAACGAAACGAAGGGUCUCUAGCUCAGUGGUAGAGCAGCUGACUGCAGAUCAGCAGGUCUCCGGUUCGAUCCCGGAGGGGCCCUGGUAUUGGCCCUCCUUGACUCAAGAGUGUCUGUCAGAAGCGUGCAGAAAUCCUCUUGCAGCGAAGCAGAAGUAGGUUUUUCACCCCAACCUGAUGUAUCCUGCGCAGACCGCAGGGGCGGUUUCUAUCACCCCUAUCGAUAGCCUGUAUGUGGUAUGGGCACUGCACUGUGCAACCAUGUCAUGAGGACCUUACCAACAAUCAGCAUGCUUGUACACACUUUGCAUAUGCAUUCCUACCCGCAUGCACAUAGCAUGCAUGCUGUGUAUGUGUGGUUACAUCUAAUAAUAUAAUAAGUAGGUUGAGCAGUUACAUAGGUGAGGCUGGUCAAUGGUGAUCACCUACCAUUCAUGGAAGGCAUUCAUGCAUUCUCAGACCAGAUCCAUUGUUAUUUUAUCCUGGUGCAUCCACUUGUUAUCAUAGGGUGUGGUGACGCACGGCUACCUGCCUUCAGGCUCCUUUCCACAGCUUUAGUCAACUUUCAAGUCAAAACGGAUCAGAUAUGUCAGUACGGCCGGUCUUUCAGUGCAUGAUGAUCGACAUGGAAGACAUUUCGCUCGUAUGGGUCUUGAUUGUCAAAUCGAUUCUAUGUUGGAUAUGGCGGAUGUUAAAUGGUAUUGGUUCUUGUCUCAUCACAUAUAAUUGAGCCAAUAACCAUUAUCAUGCGUUAUGGACAAACCAAGGGACCGACCGACUGACUGACUCAGGGCAAAAAGAGGCCAGAUGCGGGACUUAGCGAUGGGUUGCACUGAAACACAAUGUGUGAGUAGGUGUUGUGUAUCUAAAAUGUACGCACCUACCCAUACAUAGAUGGGAUACCCAUGUAUGUGUGCCUAGUAGAGCUAUAUAUCUGAACAUUUUACGAUUUGUGAGCGCCUAUAUAGCUUAGUGAUAGAGCAUUCCCUUCGUAAGGGAAAGGUCUUGAGUUCAAUCCUCAAUGUGGGCAUUUUAUGUGUUGCUGGGAUGUUUGUAUGGCUGCAAUCGCAGUCUUCUACUGAAGCACAUGUACAUGUCUUUACGAUUUCAUAGGACAUCAAGGGAAAAGGUCCUGCGUAAAGUCCUGCACACAGCAGGAAAACAAGGGAGGAUCGUCCGCCUUCAGUCUGUAUCACUGCCAAUGGAAAGCAUCUAUAAAACGUAACUAGCACUAUUCCGUUCUGACAUGAAUGAGCUUUAUUGGUUGAUACAGACAUAUAGCAGUUUCGUCGUUAAUGUUUGCGAGCUCCUGUACAUGGCCCCGAUAGCCUGCUGGAUGCCUAUGCAUGCACAUGCAUGCAUGCAUGCAUGCAUGCAUAGGCAUGAAGAAAUGUAGACCAGCAGGCGAUUCAUAUGCAUAUGUCGAGUAAUAAGUACGAAGGUGGGCAUCACAUCCUAAAGCACCUGCCUGUACAUGGGGAUGUACAUGUGCCACAUGGGUAGGUUCAAGGCCUAGGUGGGCGUCUCAUUUAAUCGGCUGUGUAAUUGGUUGGCUAGAGUUAUGUAGGAUUUCUGGAUGGGGUAGCUAUAGCUAUGCAUGCUAGCCGACGAUGUUAUUGUGUAGUACGCUACAUUUCCCUCCAAAUAUUUUAACGAUUAUUAAUAACAACACCUGUUAAUUCCGUUGACGAUUCGACUCAAGUUCCGUACAUGUACAUGUCACACAAUAUCAUGACACGGACAUAUCGGAUGUUCGUAGCGACACCUAACAGGCUGGGGCCCCGGGCCCCAUCGACAGUAUCCUAGUACAGUACGACAGGACCGUAGUAGAGAUUCGUCCGGCAGGUAGGCCAAGAUAUAAGCUACCCGGGCGGGGUGCUCUGGCCAGGCACUUCAGUAUCACGACUACUUGGUGUUCGGAGUCCAAGACUCUGCUGCCACCGUCUUAGUUGCUUCGAUCUUGUCUAUGUAAGCUAGUGCCUGUCGCUGGGUUGGACUCCUUCCCGCCUCAGCAAGGCCCCUAAGCUCCACGCUUCCGCAAGGUCAGUCGUGCCACCAGGCGAGCAUCUGCCACGUGCUGCAAUCUACUAGAUCUGUAAGGAUACAGAUAGAUGCUGCUAUAUGCCCUGCCUAUGAGUUGGUAGCUGGAUGGGCCAAGUGCGGCAGGGUAGGAUUUUAAUGUAGAUAGAGCAGUAACCUCCGAUGUUUGCACAACAUGGAUGUGGGGGGUUUAUUCGCAUCACAAAUCAUUCAUGCGCACAAAACCUCUGUAUACAUGCAUAGCGUUCCUUACAUUCUUCUGCCCUAGUUUCAGGGGCCGGUGACGCCAGGGUGACAAGAUAUGAGUCUCAUGCGUGCGUUUUCAUGUGUGUGUAUGUACGGCUUGCGUUGUUGUGGUACGUUUGUGUCGUACAACGAUGGCAUGUUUGGGAGUUUGGUCUAGUGGCAUGAUUCUCGCUUAGGGUGCGAGAGGUCGUGGGUUCAAUUCCCGCAACUCCCCGGCACACGCGCACGACCGCUUCCUCUUCAGCAACGAAACGAAGGGUCUCUAGCUCAGUGGUAGAGCAGCUGACUGCAGAUCAGCAGGUCUCCGGUUCGAUCCCGGAGGGGCCCUGGUAUUGACCCUCCUUGACUCAAGAGUGUCUGUCAGAAGCGUGCAGAAAUCCUCUUGCAGCGAAGCAGAAGUAGGUUUUUCACCCCAACCUGAUGUAUCCUGCGCAGA